rnacentral:rRNA from 1 species
UACGUAGGCAGCGAGCGUUGUUCGGAAUUACUGGGCGUAAAGAGUGUGUAGGCGGUGCUCCCAGUCUGUUGUGAAAUCUCCCGGCUCAACUGGGAGGGGACGGCCGAUACGGCUGGGCUUGAGCGAGGUAGGGGAGAGUGGAAUUCCCGGUGUAGUGGUGGAAUGCGUAGAUAUCGGGAGGAACACCAGUGGCGAAGGCGGCUCUCUGGACCUCUGCUGACGCUGAGACGCGAAAGCGUGGGGAGCAAACAGG